GAAGUUGUGCGCCAAUAUACAUCCAGGCAUUCCAGCUGUCCAGCAAAUGCAGGUGGUGCAGUUACAUCAAGGAUACCAGCACCGCUGCAACUCCUGU
rnacentral:lncRNA from 1 species